rnacentral:tRNA from 1 species
AAGGAUGUAGCUCAAUGGUAGAGCAUGUGUUUAAUAUGCACAAGGCUCUAGGCUGAAUUCUCAACAUCAUGU